GUCUCCUGGGGUCUCGGUCUAGCAGGGUGAGAGGUACAGUCCCACAGUGCUGUCAGUUGAAAUCAGGUCUUGUUUGCGUGCUUUUUUCUUGGAGUCAUCUUUGUGGGUUUUGAGUGUACGUAUCGUUUAAGCCUCGAGGUCAGAGAAGGCUGUGCUUUCUGAAGAUGUGGGGUGGCUUUCGAGGGGCAGCAGAGACACAUGAUGUUUUCAGCUCCUUGAAAAGGUAGAACUUUAACUCAUCUCAACUCGGUUUUUAUAAUCACCUGCAGAAACAAGUAAUCUUAUGUAAAAAAGGGAAGAGAGAAACUUGGACAUUAAAUUAUUUACCCCGAUCCCAAAGCGGCCUGGCUGACAUCGUCUGGAGAGGUGUGGACAAGCAGACACAUCAGAGAGAAAAGAAUGUCUGGAAAGACAUGUUCCCUGCCUUGCACCCAGCCCUCUGGGCAGCAGAGCUUGCUCUGGAAGCACAGGACUCCUCUGACCCUGUAGGAUUUCAGCUACUCUGACCUACGACACUCUCCGAUUUGCUGAGUUUGAAGAUUUCCCCGAAACCUCGGAGCCUCUUUGGAUCCUGGGUAGAAAGUACAGCAUCUUCACAGAAAAGGACGAGAUCUUGGCCGAUGUGGCGUCGAGACUUUGGUUUACAUACAGGAAGAACUUCCCGGCCAUUGGGGGCACCGGCCCCACCUCGGACACGGGCUGGGGCUGCAUGCUGCGGUGUGGACAGAUGAUCUUUGCCCAAGCCCUGGUGUGCCGGCACCUGGGCCGAGACUGGAGGUGGACGCGGCGGACGAGGCAGCCGGACAGCUACUUCAGCGUCCUGCACGCGUUCCUGGACAGGAAGGACAGCUGCUACUCCAUCCACCAGAUAGCACAAAUGGGAGUCGGCGAGGGCAAGUCCAUCGGCCAGUGGUAUGGGCCCAACACCGUCGCCCAGGUCCUGAAGAAGCUCGCCGUCUUCGACACGUGGAGCGCCCUGGCCGUUCACGUAGCGAUGGACAACACGGUGGUGAUGGAGGACAUCAGAAGGUUGUGCGGGAGCAGCCUGCCUUGUGCCGGGGCCGCAGCGCUUCCUGCAGGUUCCGAGCCGCGCUGUAACGGGCUCCCGGCUGGGCCCGAGGUCGCCAGCAGGCCGUCGCCAUGGAGACCGCUGGUGCUGCUGGUCCCGCUGCGCCUGGGGCUCACGGACAUCAAUGCGGCCUACGCGGAGACCCUGAAGCACUGCUUCAUGAUGCCCCAGUCCCUGGGCGUGAUCGGAGGGAAGCCCAACAGUGCCCGCUACUUCAUCGGCUACGUGGGUGAGGAACUCAUCUACCUGGACCCUCACACCACACAGCCAGCCCUGCAGGCCGCUGAGCACUGCCCGAUCCCGGACGAGAGCUUCCACUGCCAGCACCCGCCCAGCAGGAUGAGCAUCGCAGAGCUCGACCCGUCCAUCGCCGUGGGGUUUUUCUGUGGGACCGAGGACGACUUUAACGACUGGUGCCAGCAAGUGAAAAAGCUGUCCCUCCUUGGAGGCGCGCUGCCAAUGUUUGAGCUGGUGGAGCGGCAGCCUUCCCACUUGGCCUGUCCUGACGUCCUGAACUUGUCCUUAGGUCCCGUCCCAGUUGCCUUUGACCUUUCACGCUGUGCGGCCCCUCGGCAGCCCCUCGUGAGUGGGACCAGGGACGCUGCUGGUGCUGCCCUCCCUCCUCCCACCCGCUUGGGGCAGCACACCCGCAGCCCGCCCGGGCCCUCCCGCGCUCCUCCCGUGGCCCCUGGUCGUGAGAGCCGGACCAGGCCAGGCUUCCUGGCUGAUGUGGCAUAGGUGGCUCCGUCCCCACUGCCCGGUGGCUCUGGGCUUGGGGGCGCCUCCCCCAGAGUGCAUCAAAUUCUUCUGACGUAGAGCGACUGGAAAGAUUCUUUGACUCAGAAGAUGAAGACUUUGAAAUCUUGUCCCUUUGAGGAUUCUGCAGUUGGGGGACGGUCUCACUGGCCCCGCAGGGGCGCUCGGCCGCCGCAUCUCAUCCCGCCCGCCGCCGCCCGCCCGCCUGCCGCCCACACAGAGGCCCGCGCCGCUGGAGACCCAAGCGCCAGGCACCCAUGAGGGGCUCUCCCGCCACACUGCCAGCCCUGCCCGGCCCCGCUUCCUCCUGGGCUCCAGGCCCGGGUUCGCUUUGGAAUUAAAGUCCUGUUUGAAGUUUCGUGACGGACAUGGCUUCUGUUGGGCGUGUCCUGAGCCAGGCUCCGAAGACGCGGCCUCCAGGGCCAUCGCGGCGGGAGAAGGGGCUGAGGAACCACGGCCCGGGCCUCCUCGCAUUGGGAGGAGAGGAGCAAGGGGUGGGGGCGGUGAGGCCCAAAGACGUCGUCGUGCAGGUGGCACCAGGACAGACGCGCCGCCAGAGCCGCAGGUGAGGCCGUGGGGCCCCCGAGCUGCUGCUUGCCUGUCGCUCCAGCAUCCCCGGGGCCUUCCUCCACCUCCCGGUCAGCGAGGCUUCGGAUGGUUUGGGGCCGGAGGGUCAAACCUCAGCUUUGUGCCUCUGCCCCUCGUGCCCGCUGGAGACCUUCUGGACGGACGCCAGCACCCGCCUCCUUCAUUCAACCUGUGUUCUGGGCCCCGGGCACCGCCGCACGCAGUGGCUUUCGUCUCACCAGGGAGCGCAGGCGGGGGUUUGGGAGCCCAGGAGGUGGCAGCCUUCUCCCCGGGGGCCUUCCUUGCAGAGCCCCCACCAGCCCAGCGAGCGAGCAGAGGGCAUCCCGGCCCCCCAGGUGUUGCCAACGUGAGUGCUUCCCUCCGUCUCCCAUUCUCUCUCCCCCUCAUCCCCCCGUCAUCCUUCAGGUCGAGUUGGGUGAGAAGGUUUCCAUUCCUUCUGCUGCGCCGCUGCUGGCGGCACGGACGGCGGAGGUGGGGGCCACCCUGAGCAGCGGGGGCUGUGUCUCGCGUGUGUCGGGAGAGGAUUACUGAGGAGCGCUCACUCUUAGCCGUACAGUGCGCGAUUCUUAAUGGCAAAUAAUAACAGUUUCAAUAGAAAA